GCAACGUAUGGAUAAGAUAGAAGGGGAGAUGCAAUCAAUGCGUAUUAAGAUCUGACAAGUGCAGAAUAAGUGCACCCAAACAAACAUAUAGUUGGCUGACAUCUGGGCAUAUCUUAGCCAAAUGAUAGGUACGAUGCAGAGGCAAGUUGACAUAGGCAUCCUAAGUAACAUUGAGAAUAACCCUCGGAGAGAUGCGAAAAGCACGUGAAAGGUAUUACGCUCUGUUCGGGUACAGUCUUAAAAAACCCGAAUGUCCUAGAUCCGAAUGAGUUAAAUGAAGAACAUGUGGAUAAUUCCUUAAAUGCUGAAGAGCCAUAAGAAACCGAAGAGGUAGCUGAAUUGGAAACAUAAUUGAGCAUUGAUCCGACUUUCAAAAGCAUACCAUUCACUUGAGGCUUGAAGACAAUCGAAAAAGGGAUGAAGCUAAAUCUGAAAACAUAUCUAUGAGAGAGAGAAAGAGAGAAAUGGAAGGACUCAGGCUAGAAUGACGAACACUAGACAGAUCAAGAUGCUUAAACUUGAGGUAGCAAGUCAAUGAAGAAAUCUAAUGGGCUGUCGAAUGAAUCCAACAACAACACUUAAUACUUUAAUCAUUGAACUUCAAUAUAUUUUUAAAAUUUUUAUUUUUAUUUUUCAUAUUUUUUAACUUAA